UAAUAAUUUAGUUUUUUUUUAAUGUUUUUUUUUCUCUGUGUGUUGAAGUCACUGGUCCUGAAUUCCAACAUAUUGGAGUUGGCGUUGGACACCGUCUGGACCUGGCUUCUUCUGGGGUUCUCGUUCUCAGCGUUGGGAAGGCCAACAGGAUCCUGCCUGAGUUCUACAGCCCACCGGUCACCAGGGACUACACAUUAGAGGGCGUUUUUGGUACUGCAACCGAUGAUUUCUCUGACGUGGGCCGAGUUGUGGAGAGGUCCACCUACGGUAGGAGAAUUUAAAACUUCAACAUUUGGUCGUGUUUUAUCACAUCGACCUUAGGUUAGAGAGUAACAUCCGAUGGUGAACUACAGGUCGUUUACAUAAUCAAGUGUCAAAGUAAAGUGUUACAGACUUUAAU